rnacentral:rRNA from 1 species
AGAAUGCCGGAAUGAGUAGCGAGAGGAAGGUGGGAAUCCUUCCGGCCGAAUAUCUAAGGUUUCCAGGGUAAAGCUGAUCUGCCCUGGGUAAGUCGGGGCCUAAGGCGAGGGCGAAAGCCGUAGUCGAUGGACAACAGGUUGAAAUUCCUGUACUGCAGUAUGACAGAACUGUGGGGACACGUGUGGAAAGCAUAAGCCGGGAGUGGAAAGACCGGCGCAAGCGAAGUAGGAGUCAUGUAGGAAAAACCGCAUGACAAUCCAAAGGCGUGAAGCGGAGCGAAAAAGAAGUAGCGAAGUAUGUGAGCCAUGCGUCAAGAAAAGCCGCUAUUGUUUGUACUGUACCCGUACCGUAAACCGACACAGGUGGAUGAGGAGAGAAUCCUAAGGCCGACGGGAGAAGCAUUGUUAAGGAACUCGGCAAAAUGACUCCGUAACUUCGGGAGAAGGAGUGCCAGGUAAGACUGGCCGCAGAGAAUUGGCCCAAGCAACUGUUUAGCAAAAACACAGGUCUAUGCAAAACCGAAAGGUGAAGUAUAUGGGCUGACGCCUGCCCGGUGCUGGAAGGUUAAGGGGAGAGGUUAGCGCAAGCGAAGCUUUGAACUUAAGCCCCAGUAAACGGCGGCCGUAACUAUAACGGUCCUAAGGUAGCGAAAUUCCUUGUCGGGUAAGUUCCGACCCGCACGAAAGGCGUAAUGAUUUGGGCACUGUCUCGACAAUGCACCCGGUGAAAUUGAAGUACCAGUGAAGAUGCUGGUUACCUGCGCCAGGACGGAAAGACCCCAUGGAGCUUUACUCCAGCUUGAUACUGGGAUUCGGUAUUGCAUGUACAGGAUAGGUGGGAGACGAGGAACUCAUGACGCCAGUCGUGAGGGAGUCGCUGUUGGGAUACCACCCUUGCAGUAUUGGAUUUCUAACCAGCAGCCGUGAACCGGCUGGGGGACAAUGUCAGGUGGGGAGUUUGACUGGGGCGGUCGCCUCCGAAAGGGUAUCGGAGGCGCUCAAAGGUUCCCUCAGAAUGGUUGGAAACCAUUCGUAGAGUGCAAAGGCAGAAGGGAGCUUGACUGCGACACCGACGGGUGGAGCAGGUAC